UUAAGCGACUAAGCGUACACGGUGGAUGCCCUGGCAGUCAGAGGCGAUGAAGGACGUGCUAAUCUGCGAUAAGCGUCGGUAAGGUGAUAUGAACCGUUAUAACCGGCGAUUUCCGAAUGGGGAAACCCAGUGUGAUUCGUCACACUAUCAUUAACUGAAUCCAUAGGUUAAUGAGGCGAACCGGGGGAACUGAAACAUCUAAGUACCCCGAGGAAAAGAAAUCAACCGAGAUUCCCCCAGUAGCGGCGAGCGAACGGGGAGCAGCCCAGAGCCUGAAUCAGUGUGUGUGUUAGUGGAAGCGUCUGGAAAGGCGCGCGAUACAGGGUGACAGCCCCGUACACAAAAAUGCACAUGCUGUGAGCUCGAUGAGUAGGGCGGGACACGUGGUAUCCUGUCUGAAUAUGGGGGGACCAUCCUCCAAGGCUAAAUACUCCUGACUGACCGAUAGUGAACCAGUACCGUGAGGGAAAGGCGAAAAGAACCCCGGCGAGGGGAGUGAAAAAGAACCUGAAACCGUGUACGUACAAGCAGUGGGAGCACAGAGCAAUCUGUGUGACUGCGUACCUUUUGUAUAAUGGGUCAGCGACUUAUAUUCUGUAGCAAGGUUAACCGAAUAGGGGAGCCGAAGGGAAACCGAGUCUUAACUGGGCGUUAAGUUGCAGGGUAUAGACCCGAAACCCGGUGAUCUAGCCAUGGGCAGGUUGAAGGUUGGGUAACACUAACUGGAGGACCGAACCGACUAAUGUUGAAAAUUAGCGGAUGACUUGUGGCUGGGGGUGAAAGGCCAAUCAAACCGGGAGAUAGCUGGUUCUCCCCGAAAGCUAUUUAGGUAGCGCCUCGUGAAUUCAUCUCCGGGGGUAGAGCACUGUUUCGGCAAGGGGGUCAUCCCGACUUACCAACCCGAUGCAAACUGCGAAUACCGGAGAAUGUUAUCACGGGAGACACACGGCGGGUGCUAACGUCCGUCGUGAAGAGGGAAACAACCCAGACCGCCAGCUAAGGUCCCAAAGUCAUGGUUAAGUGGGAAACGAUGUGGGAAGGCCCAGACAGCCAGGAUGUUGGCUUAGAAGCAGCCAUCAUUUAAAGAAAGCGUAAUAGCUCACUGGUCGAGUCGGCCUGCGCGGAAGAUGUAACGGGGCUAAACCAUGCACCGAAGCUGCGGCAGCGACACUAUGUGUUGUUGGGUAGGGGAGCGUUCUGUAAGCCUGUGAAGGUGUACUGUGAGGUAUGCUGGAGGUAUCAGAAGUGCGAAUGCUGACAUAAGUAACGAUAAAGCGGGUGAAAAGCCCGCUCGCCGGAAGACCAAGGGUUCCUGUCCAACGUUAAUCGGGGCAGGGUGAGUCGACCCCUAAGGCGAGGCCGAAAGGCGUAGUCGAUGGGAAACAGGUUAAUAUUCCUGUACUUGGUGUUACUGCGAAGGGGGGACGGAGAAGGCUAUGUUGGCCGGGCGACGGUUGUCCCGGUUUAAGCGUGUAGGCUGGUUUUCCAGGCAAAUCCGGAAAAUCAAGGCUGAGGCGUGAUGACGAGGCACUACGGUGCUGAAGCAACAAAUGCCCUGCUUCCAGGAAAAGCCUCUAAGCAUCAGGUAACAUCAAAUCGUACCCCAAACCGACACAGGUGGUCAGGUAGAGAAUACCAAGGCGCUUGAGAGAACUCGGGUGAAGGAACUAGGCAAAAUGGUGCCGUAACUUCGGGAGAAGGCACGCUGAUAUGUAGGUGAAGUCCCUCGCGGAUGGAGCUGAAAUCAGUCGAAGAUACCAGCUGGCUGCAACUGUUUAUUAAAAACACAGCACUGUGCAAACACGAAAGUGGACGUAUACGGUGUGACGCCUGCCCGGUGCCGGAAGGUUAAUUGAUGGGGUCAGCGCAAGCGAAGCUCUUGAUCGAAGCCCCGGUAAACGGCGGCCGUAACUAUAACGGUCCUAAGGUAGCGAAAUUCCUUGUCGGGUAAGUUCCGACCUGCACGAAUGGCGUAAUGAUGGCCAGGCUGUCUCCACCCGAGACUCAGUGAAAUUGAACUCGCUGUGAAGAUGCAGUGUACCCGCGGCAAGACGGAAAGACCCCGUGAACCUUUACUAUAGCUUGACACUGAACAUUGAGCCUUGAUGUGUAGGAUAGGUGGGAGGCUUGGAAGUGUGGACGCCAGUCUGCAUGGAGCCGACCUUGAAAUACCACCCUUUAAUGUUUGAUGUUCUAACGUUGACCCGUAAUCCGGGUUGCGGACAGUGUCUGGUGGGUAGUUUGACUGGGGCGGUCUCCUCCUAAAGAGUAACGGAGGAGCACGAAGGUUGGCUAAUCCUGGUCGGACAUCAGGAGGUUAGUGCAAUGGCAUAAGCCAGCUUGACUGCGAGCGUGACGGCGCGAGCAGGUGCGAAAGCAGGUCAUAGUGAUCCGGUGGUUCUGAAUGGAAGGGCCAUCGCUCAACGGAUAAAAGGUACUCCGGGGAUAACAGGCUGAUACCGCCCAAGAGUUCAUAUCGACGGCGGUGUUUGGCACCUCGAUGUCGGCUCAUCACAUCCUGGGGCUGAAGUAGGUCCCAAGGGUAUGGCUGUUCGCCAUUUAAAGUGGUACGCGAGCUGGGUUUAGAACGUCGUGAGACAGUUCGGUCCCUAUCUGCCGUGGGCGCUGGAGAACUGAGGGGGGCUGCUCCUAGUACGAGAGGACCGGAGUGGACGCAUCACUGGUGUUCGGGUUGUCAUGCCAAUGGCACUGCCCGGUAGCUAAAUGCGGAAGAGAUAAGUGCUGAAAGCAUCUAAGCACGAAACUUGCCCCGAGAUGAGUUCUCCCUGACUCCUUGAGAGUCCUGAAGGAACGUUGAAGACGACGACGUUGAUAGGCCGGGUGUGUAAGCGCAGCGAUGCGUUGAGCUAACCGGUACUAAUGAACCGUGAGGCUUAACCUU
rnacentral:rRNA from 1 species